rnacentral:rRNA from 1 species
GCCUGCGCGGAAGAUGUAACGGGGCUAAACCAUGCACCGAAGCUGCGGCAGCGACACUGUGUGUUGUUGGGUAGGGGAGCGUUCUGUAAGCCUGUGAAGGUGUGUCGUGAGGCAUGCUGGAGGUAUCAGAAGUGCGAAUGCUGACAUAAGUAACGAUAAAGCGGGUGAAAAGCCCGCUCGCCGGAAGACCAAGGGUUCCUGUCCAACGUUAAUCGGGGCAGGGUGAGUCGACCCCUAAGGCGAGGCCGAAAGGCGUAGUCGAUGGGAAACGGGUUAAUAUUCCCGUACUUGGUGUUACUGCGAAGGGGGGACGGAGAAGGCUAUGUUGGCCGGGCGACGGUUGUCCCGGUUUAAGCGUGUAGGUGUGUGUUCCAGGUAAAUCCGGUUCACUUUAACACUGAGGCGUGACGACGAGGCACUACGGUGCUGAAGCAACAAAUGCCCUGCUUCCAGGAAAAGCCUCUAAGCAUCAGGUAACAUCAAAUCGUACCCCAAACCGACACAGGUGGUCAGGUAGAGAAUACCAAGGCGCUUGAGAGAACUCGGGUGAAGGAACUAGGCAAAAUGGUGCCGUAACUUCGGGAGAAGGCACGCUGACACGUAGGUGAAGUGAUUUACUCAUGGAGCUGAAGUCAGUCGAAGAUACCAGCUGGCUGCAACUGUUUAUUAAAAACACAGCACUGUGCAAACACGAAAGUGGACGUAUACGGUGUGACGCCUGCCCGGUGCCGGAAGGUUAAUUGAUGGGGUCAGCGCAAGCGAAGCUCCUGAUCGAAGCCCCGGUAAACGGCGGCCGUAACUAUAACGGUCCUAAGGUAGCGAAAUUCCUUGUCGGGUAAGUUCCGACCUGCACGAAUGGCGUAAUGAUGGCCAGGCUGUCUCCACCCGAGACUCAGUGAAAUUGAACUCGCUGUGAAGAUGCAGUGUACCCGCGGCAAGACGGAAAGACCCCGUGAACCUUUACUAUAGCUUGACACUGAACAUUGAGCCUUGAUGUGUAGGAUAGGUGGGAGGCUUUGAAGUGUGGACGCCAGUCUGCAUGGAGCCGACCUUGAAAUACCACCCUUUAAUGUUUGAUGUUCUAACGUGGACCCGUUACCCGGGUUGCGGACAGUGUCUGGUGGGUAGUUUGACUGGGGCGGUCUCCUCC